UAAUACGUAGGUGGCAAGCGUUGUCCGGAAUUAUUGGGCGUAAAGCGCGCGCAGGCGGCUAUGUAAGUCUGGUGUUAAAGCCCGGGGCUCAACCCCGGUACGCACCCGAAACUGCGUAGCUUGAGUGCAGGAGAGGAAAGCGGUAUUCCACGUGUAGCGGUGAAAUGCGUAGAGAUGUGGAGGAACACCAGUGGCGAAGGCGGCUUUCUGGCCUGUAACUGACGCUGAGGCGCGAAAGCGUGGGGAGCAAACAGGAUUAGAUACCCUGGUAGUCCACGCCGUAAACGAUGAGUGCUAGGUGUUGGGGGUUUUGAUACCCUCAGUGCCGCAGCUAACGCAAUAAGCACUCCGCCUGGGGAGUACGCUCGCAAGAGUGAA
rnacentral:rRNA from 1 species